GACGAACGCUGGCGGCGUGGAUUAGGCAUGCAAGUCGGACGGUAGGGCUUUAUCGUAAGAUAGAGUUUGAGAGUGGCGAACGGGUGAGUAACACGUAGGAAUCUACCCUUAAGACGGGGACAACCCAGGGAAACUUGGGCUAAUACCGGAUGAGAGUGCGAGAGAUUGCAUUUAAAAGGAUGGCGAAAGUUGUCGCUUAGGGAUGAGCCUGCGGUCUAUUAGUUAGUUGGUGAGGUAAGAGCUCACCAAGGCGAUGAUAGAUAGGCGGCCUUAACGGGUGUCGCCCACACUGGGAUUGAGAUACGGCCCAGACUCCUACGGGAGGCAGCAGUCGAGAAUAGUCUACAAUGGCCGGAAGGCUGAUAGUGCGACGCCGCGUGAACGAGGGAGCCCUUCGGGUGUAAAGUUACUUUCUUAUACGAGCAGUGCUAUAUAUAAUGAUAGUAUAUAUAGAGGAUAGUAGUAUAGAAUAAGAAACGCUAACUCGUGCC
rnacentral:rRNA from 1 species